rnacentral:rRNA from 1 species
ACUCAAAGGAAUAGACGGGGGCCCGCACAAGCGGUGGAGCAUGUGGUUUAAUUCGAUGCAACGCGAAGAACCUUACCAAGGCUUGACAUGGGUAUGUCGUAUACAGAGAUGUAUAUUCCUCUUCGGAGGCAUACUACACAGGUGGUGCAUGGUUGUCGUCAGCUCGUGUCGUGAGAUGUUGGGUUAAGUCCCGCAACGAGCGCAACCCUUAUGUUUAGUAGCGACCAGGUAGAGCUGAGCACACUAGAGAGACUGCCGUGGAGAACACGGAGGAAGGUGGGGACGACGUCAAAUCAUCAUGCCCCUAAUGUCUUGGGCUACACACGUGCUACAAUGGGCGAGACAGCGUGAAGCAAAGGCGUGAGCCGGAGCGAAUCACGAAAAGCGCCCUCAGUUCGGAUUGCAGUCUGCAACUCGAGUGCAUGAAGUUGGAAUCGCUAGUAAUCGCGAAUCAGCAUGUCGCGGUGAAUACGUUCCCGGGCCUUGCACACACCGCCCGU